UAAAGGUAUUCCGGUAGACGAUGGGGAUGCGUUCCAUUAGAUAGUAGGCGGGGUAACGGCCCACCUAGUCUUCGAUGGAUAGGGGUUCUGAGAGGAAGGUCCCCCACAUUGGAACUGAGACACGGUCCAAACUCCUACGGGAGGCAGCAGUGAGGAAUAUUGGUCAGUGGGCGAGAGCCUGAACCAGCCAAGUAGCGUGAAGGAUGACUGCCCUAUGGGUUGUAAACUUCUUUUAUAAAGGAAUAAAGUCGGGUAUGGAUACCCGUUUGCAUGUACUUUAUGAAUAAGGAUCGGCUAACUCCGUGCCAGCAGCCGCGGUAAUACGGAGGAUCCGAGCGUUAUCCGGAUUUAUUGGGUUUAAAGGGAGCGUAGAUGGAUGUUUAAGUCAGUUGUGAAAGUUUGCGGCUCAACCGUAAAAUUGCAGUUGAUACUGGAUAUCUUGAGUGCAGUUGAGGCAGGCGGAAUUCGUGGUGUAGCGGUGAAAUGCUUAGAUAUCACGAAGAACUCCGAUUGCGAAGGCAGCCUGCUAAGCUGCAACUGACAUUGAGGCUCGAAAGUGUGGGUAUCAAACAGGAUUAGAUACCCUGGUAGUCCACACGGUAAACGAUGAAUACUCGCUGUUUGCGAUAUACUGCAA
rnacentral:rRNA from 1 species